rnacentral:rRNA from 1 species
GACGAACGCUGGCGGCGUGCUUUACACAUGCAAGUCGAACGGUGAAGGUGGAGCUUGCUCCGCCGGAUCAGUGGCGAACGGGUGAGUAACACGUGGGCAACCUGCCCCUAACUUUGGGAUAACUACUCGAAAGAGUAGCUAAUACCGGAUAUGAAGUCUGUAGGCAUCUACGGAUUUGGAAAGUUUUUCGGUUAGGGAUGGGCCCGCGGCCUAUCAGCCUGUUGGUGAGGUAGUGGCUCACCAAGGCGACGACGGGUAGCCGGCCUGAGAGGGCGACCGGCCACACUGGGACUGGGACACGGCCCAGACUCCUACGGGAGGCAGCAGUGGGGAAUAUUGCGCAAUGGGCGAAAGCCUGACGCAGCAACGCCGCGUGGGGGAUGAAGGCCUUCGGGUUGUAAACCGCUUUCAGCAGGGAAGAAGCGAAAGUGACGGUACCUGCAGAAGAAGCACCGGCUAACUACGUGCCAGCAGCCGCGGUAA